AACGAACGCUGGCGGCAUGCCUAACACAUGCAAGUCGAACGAGACCUUCGGGUCUAGUGGCGCACGGGUGCGUAACGCGUGGGAACCUGCCCUUAGGUUCGGAAUAACUCUCCGAAAGGGGUGCUAAUACCGGAUAAUGUCUUCGGACCAAAGAUUUAUCGCCUUUGGAGGGGCCCGCGUUGGAUUAGCUAGUUGGUAGGGUAAAAGCCUACCAAGGCGACGAUCCAUAGCUGGUCUGAGAGGAUGAUCAGCCACACUGGGACUAAGACACGGCCCAGACUCCUACGGGAAGCGGCAGUGGGGAAUAUAGGACCAUGGGGGGAGGCCUGAUCCAGCAAGGCCGGGUGAGUGAUGAAGGCCUUAGGGUUGUAAAGCUCUUUUACCCGGGAUGAUAAUGACAGUACCGGAAGAAUAAGCUCCGGCUAACUCCGUG
rnacentral:rRNA from 1 species